CGACAGUCAAGACCAUCAUUGCGGACCGUAUGUCUGUUAUCGUCCAAUGUAUCUCCUCCAUAGUGAUUGCUACAGCAGUCAGUAUGAAAGUUAACUGGAGAAUGGGUCUGGUAGCUUGGGCAGUGAUGCCAUGCCACUUCAUUGGAGGGAUAAUUCAAGCCAAAUCAGCCAAAGGAUUUUCAAGUGGUAGUACCGCAGCUCACUCGGAACUUGUUGCCCUUGCUUCUGAAUCAGCAACCAAUAUAAAAACUGUGGCUUCUUUUUGCCAGGAAGAGCAUGUCAUUCAAAAGGCCAAAGCUACUCUCAAGAAACCAAUGAGGAAAAGCAGGGUAGAAAGCAUUAAGUAUGGAAUCAUUCAAGGUGUAUCCCUUUGCUUAUGGAAUAUUGCUCAUGCUGUUGCAUUGUGGUAUACAACAGUUCUGGUUCGCAACCACCAAGCGAGCUUCGAGAAUAGCAUAAGAUCAUAUCAGAUAUUCUCUCUCACAGUACCAUCAAUCACAGAACUAUGGACGUUGAUACCCACUGUUUUCUCUGCCAUCAGUGUUUUAACACCUGUGUUCCAAACCAUUGACCGACAGACUGAAAUUGAACCAGACUUGCCAAAGGAUUCACCGUGCGAAAGCCUUAAAGGGGAAAUUGAAUUUCGAAAUGUCGAGUUCUGCUACCCUUCGAGACCAGAAAUAACCAUACUUGACAGCUUCAGUUUAAAAAUUGAAGCUGGAUCGAAGGUUGCUCUUGUUGGGCCAAGUGGAGCUGGAAAGUCCUCUGUUUUAGCACUCAUUCUCAGAUUCUAUGAUGCCAACAAAGGACGAGUCCUGAUUGAUGGGAAGAACAUAAAGCAAUACAACCUAAGAAAUAUAAGGGCACGGAUAGGGUUGGUGCAGCAGGAACCACUUCUCUUUAGUUGCUCAAUAAGAGACAAUAUUUGCUAUGGGUGCGAAGGAGCUUCUGAAGCUGAAAUCAUACAGGUGUCAAGGGAUGCAAACAUACAUGAAGUAGUAAGCAAUUUACCGAGCGGAUACGACACUACGGUAGGGGAAAAGGGAUGUCAACUUUCCGGUGGACAAAAGCAACGAAUAGCCAUUGCAAGGGCCCUACUGAAAAGGCCGGCAAUAAUGCUCCUCGAUGAAGCAACAAGCGCUCUUGAUGCAGAGUCUGAAAGAUCCGUGAUUAAUGCUCUGGAAUCACUAAAACUGAGCACAACAUAUGUCACAAUUGCACACAGACUUUCCACAGUAAUCAACUCAGAUGCCAUAGUUGUUAUGGAUAAGGGUAAGGUUGUGGAAAUGGGCAGCCAUUCAACCCUAAUAGCGGCAACUGAGGGAGUUUAUUCGAAACUCACCAGGCUUCAGAGUGUCGAGAGAAAUUGACAUAUCUACAUCUACGAAAAUUAAAUGAUAGUCACUGUAAGUCUUAUAGUAUUUCUUAAGCUUGAAGCCAUCCUGUCAGAUUAGGUUUAAUAAUUUACUGUAUUGGCUUCACUGUUACUAUAUCCAAAAACUGGUAUUACAUCCAACACCAGCACUUUGGUUCGUACUUCAGAAAAAUAUCGAG
rnacentral:lncRNA from 1 species